rnacentral:lncRNA from 1 species
GCUCCAGUAGAGGAAAACUGCAUCACAUCAUCAGUAUGUCCUCCACUUGUCUGCUGCAAUGAGGAUGGGAGAGAAAGGAGAUACUGCUCAGAGCUCCUGAGAUGCCAGAGUUUCAUCCUCCCACCUGUGUGCCGAGCUUGGUGAGACGCCCAGGAGAGCCGAAUGCCAUCGGCGGGCACUGUCCCAGCACCGUCCCCACGCUGGGUGGUGCCGGCUGUGCCAGACUCUGCUUACCUCUGCAGGAUCAAGCCCAUAUUAGGGGAAGGAAUGGAGAUGGACAAGCACAGCAGGUGUUGCACAGGACUGGCGGCUGCUGGAGGCAACAAUUCAGCCGUGUGUGGAUGGAGCCAUCACUGGGGAAGCCGUUCCACGGCCCAGCCGAGGGCAGGCCCUUUGUUCCCGGCUCCAGCACUGGGUGAGGAGGGACACUGGACAUGCCUUCGAUUACGGUAACAGAGGAUGGAUUUUGCUGUGUGCCAGUAAAUUCCCAUAAGGAAAAGGAACAGGAAGAAAAAGACCCAGCAGGUACUAGGAAAAAUGCAGCUUGCAGCACAUAAUGUUAGAGACAAGGACAACUCUUUUUUAAUUGACUACUGCCCUGCCACAUGUUGUAGUUCAGCCAGAGUUCCUGUAUACAGGCCAGAUGUAAGAACUGA